rnacentral:snRNA from 1 species
UAAACUGAUUUUUGGAAUCAAGACGGAGUGCUUGGAGCUUGCUCCACCUCUGUCGCGGGUUGGCCCGGUAUUGCAGUACCGCCGGGAUUUCGGCCCAAC